CCCUCACAGAAAGUUCAAAUAUUUCUGAUAAUUCCUUCCUUCUGGUUGCCACUCAAUCAACUGAAAUGUUAGAGCGAAACAUCAUGGCACCUUUCAGCUUCGUUAAAAAAGAAAGGCGAUUAGUUUUUUCGUUAAAUUACGGUAACAUUGAUGCUGUGCUGGCUAAGAUUGUGACGUUGGAGAGAGCAGUCAAGCUUGGAAAGAAAGACCAAAAUUUACUGAUUGAGAAUAUUGUCCAGAGCAGACAGAAUGAGGUAUCCUUUAACACCAGCUGGUUAGAGAACCUUUAUGAGGA